rnacentral:rRNA from 1 species
CCUACGGGUGACAGCAGUGGGGAAUAUUGCGCAAUGGGCGAAAGCCUGACGCAGCGACGCCGCGUGAGGGAUGAAGGUCUUCGGAUCGUAAACCUCUGUCAGCAGGGAAGAACGGUCACGGUGCUAAGCAGCAGUGAAUGGACGGUACCGGCAAAGGAAGCACGGGCUAACUCCGUGCCAGCAGCCGCGGUAAGACGGAGGGAGCGAGCGUUAAUCGGAAUUACUGGGAGGAAAGCGCGCGUAGGCGGUAUGUCAAGUCAAGGGUGAAAGCCCCGCGCGCAACGUGGGAACUGCCUUUGAAACUGGCAAACUGGACUGUGUGCGAGUAUAGUGGAAUUCCCGUUGU